GCUCGCCCAGCCUCCCGCGCGCGCGCGGCAGCCUUUGGCCACCCAUCCCUGAGGAAGUGGGGCGGCCCCCCGCGCCGGGCGCGCCUUCUUUCGCAGCCUCCUCUCGCCUCAGGCAAACAUUCCCCCACCCCCACCCCCCAAGCACGUCGUGGGGAAUCUUCAGAGAACCUCGCGCCUUCAGGUUCCCUCAGCGCCUUCAGAAACUCUGAAGAACUGCAGGGACGAAGAGGCUCCACUAGGUGGCCACACAGACCACCUGUUUGUUCUUUUGCGGACAAGCUGGUGGCAGAGACCAGACCCUUCCCAGCUACUCCUGUCUGUGAUGUGUGUGUUUAGGAGCGUGCCCAGUGAAGAGGACGAGGAGGCAAAGAUAGAAGUUUAAGAAGAAUCAACAUCGAAAUACCUAAAUUCAUAGAACAGGAGAGAAGACACCCAGUAAAGAAGGUGCUGUGAAGAGAUUAUAGUGUUGCAUCUGCAGACCAAGGAAUGCCUAGAAUUGCAGGAGCCACCAGAAGCUAGGACAGAGGCAUGGACCAGAUUUUUCCCUCAGGGCUACCAGAAAGAACCUUGACCUUGGACUUCUGACCUCCAGACCUGUGAAAGAAUAAAUUUCUAUUGUUUUAAGCUA